UCUACCCUAAUUUUGGUAAAAAUGGACGAUUGUGAAACAGGAGGCAAUUUUAAGAAAAAACAUCUAAUUAUGCAUCCAAAUGAGAAUGUAUCUUGAAUAUUGGUACUUAGACAUUACAAAAAUAGUAUUUAAUUAACUUCAGAUAGCAUCAUGGGGGGUCUACCCUUUCCGAGAAGCCGAGUAAUUGGAAUAUUACAGUAAAUCUUUAAAAUGCUAAAACUUUGAGGCAAUUCAAGGUACAGCCCUGAAACUUUGCACACUUGUGCAACACUCAGGUAUGAACAAAUUAAUGAUUCAUUUUUUUGAUUGGACAAUUGGUGUUGCCGUGGUAACAGUUAAGACAUCCUUAAAUCUCUUUUUCAAUUAUUUUGCUCAGAAUUGGCUGUAUCAACAAAAGCUCUCAUUAAUUUGUUAAGUACAUAGAUGAGAGUAAACUGUGAAAAUUUCAGCCAAAUCUGUUAAAAACUCUCUGAGUUUUAGCAUUUUAAAGGUAAAAAUAUGCGGAAAUUGUGUUUUGCGGCAAAUCCAAGGUAAAGUUGGACUAACAUGUCUUCGCAUUGUUUUCAGCUUUACUAACACCCUAGCAGACAAAUGUUAACAGAACAGAACAUAACAAUCCAUUCUUACUCCUCAUAACGUUCCACCUACUCAUUGUUUUUGUCUUUUUGGUCUUUUAGCUAGUUUUAGUCCCGGCAACGCCCUUCACUAAAUGCAUCGCUGCUAUAGGAUGGGCCGCCUUCUUCGUCACGUGUUUCCAGUUCUCUAACAAGCUUUGCUUGUCUUGGUGCAAUUUUUUUCCUUUUUUCUACCAAGCUUGCUUUCCUUUUUGAAUAUUCUCUUCUUGUCCAUACUGGCUCUUGCUUCUUCAGUAAACCUGCCUGACGGGAUUUUGCCACCUUCAUCAUCUCGUGCCGCGCCUUCGAACCGCUGUCAAAUUGGAGUACAGCAGACCCAGUACCAGCCAUUUUGAUUGCCCUUUGGGCCCUUAUACUUGUGCUUUGGUGUUUUUGACCAGACUAUUCCAUUCAGGCUUUCAUAUUUCUGGUUUGGGGAAUAACUUAUCAUGCCAUACCUUGUAUAUCAUCCG